GACGAAUGCUGGCGGCGUGCUUAACACAUGCAAGUCGAACGGAAAGGCCCUGCUUUUGUGGGGUGCUCGAGUGGCGAACGGGUGAGUAACACGUGAGUAACCUGCCCUUGACUUUGGGAUAACUUCAGGAAACUGGGGCUAAUACCGGAUAGGAGCUCCUGCUGCAUGGUGGGGGUUGGAAAGUUUCGGCGGUUGGGGAUGGACUCGCGGCUUAUCAGCUUGUUGGUGGGGUAGUGGCUUACCAAGGCUUUGACGGGUAGCCGGCCUGAGAGGGUGACCGGCCACAUUGGGACUGAGAUACGGCCCAGACUCCUACGGGAGGCAGCAGUGGGGAAUAUUGCACAAUGGGCGGAAGCCUGAUGCAGCAACGCCGCGUGCGGGAUGACGGCCUUCGGGUCGUAAACCGCUUUCGCCUGUGACGAAGCGUGAGUGACGGUAAUGGGUAAAGAAGCACCGGCUAACUACGUG
rnacentral:rRNA from 1 species